UAGAGUUUGAUCCUGGCUCAGGACAACGCUGGCGGCACGCCUAACACAUGCAAGUCGAACGGAGUGAAGAUGCUCGCAUCUGAACUUAGUGGCGGACGGGUGAGUAACACGUGGGCAACCUGCCUUUCAGAGGGGGAUAACGUUUGGAAACGAACGCUAAUACCGCAUAAAAUAUCGGAGUCGCAUGGCACUGAUAUCAAAGGAGCAAUCCGCUGAAAGAUGGGCUCGCGUCCGAUUAGGCAGUUGGCGGGGUAACGGCCCACCAAACCGACAAUCGGUAGCCGGACUGAGGGGUUGAACGGCCACAUUGGGACUGAGACACGGCCCAGACUCCUACGGGAGGCAGCAGUGGGGGAUAUUGCACAAUGGGGGAAACCCUGAUGCAGCGAUGCCGCGUGAAUGAAGACGGCCUUCGGGUUGUAAAGUUCUGUCGCAGGGGACGAAAAUGACGGUACCCUGCAAGAAAGCUCCGGCUAACUACGUG
rnacentral:rRNA from 1 species